AUUGAACGCUAGCGGGAUGCCUUACACAUGCAAGUCGAACGGAGUGGCGAACGGGUGAGUAAUGUAUCGGAACGUGCCCAGUAGCGGGGGAUAACUACGCGAAAGCGUAGCUAAUACCGCAUACUCUUGGAGCGGCAGAUAUGGGAUUAGCUAGUUGGUGGGGUAACGGCUCACCAAGGCGACGAUCCGUAGCUGGUUUGAGAGGACGACCAGCCACACUGGGACUGAGACACGGCCCAGACUCCUACGGGAGGCAGCAGUGGGGAAUUUUGGACAAUGGGUGAAACCCUGAUGCAGCCAUCCCGCGUGUGUGAUGAAGGCCUUCGGGUUGUAAAGCACUUUUGGCAGGGAAGCGUUACCUGCAGAAUAAGCACCGGCUAACUACGUGCCAGCAGCCGCGGUAAUUC
rnacentral:rRNA from 1 species